AAAAAAACUUUUUUUUUGCCUUAGAUGAAAUCUCCUUUCUUCCAUGUGUGACCUUGUGUCCUAUGUAUAACCCUGUUUAUGAAUAGAUUUCCAGAUAAAGGUUUGUACUGGCCCAGAAUAUAUUUGUAUAAUGUUAUCAUAUCCCCUCUCAGGUGCCGUUUUUCCAAACUAAACCGAUUUAAUUUUUUUGACCUUUCUUCAUAACUAAAAUGCUCCAUUCCUUUUAUCAAUUUUGUAGCUGGUCUCUGGACUUUUUCUAGUGCCAUGAUAUCUUUCUUUAGAACAGGCGCCAAGCGAUUUAUAAAGAGGCAAAAUUAUAUUUUCAUCCAAAGAAUUUAUGCCCCUAUUUAUACAUGACAAAACCUUACUGGCCUUAGCAACUGCAGAUUGACAUUGCAUAUUGCUGCCUAAUUUGUUGUCUAUAACAAUUCCCAAAUCCUUCUCGUGUGUGGUUAUCCCUAGUUCACUACCAUUUAGGGUGUAAAUUGCUUGUGCAUUCUUAACCCCGAAGUGCAUAACUUUGCAUUUCUCUACGUUAAAUUUAAUCUGCCAUUUUAGUGCCCAGUCCCCCAACAUAUGCAUGUUGUAUUAUUACAAAGUUCUUGUUUUGCUUCUAUUAAUCCUUAAAGUAUAUAGCAAUAUAUUCAUAUCAAGUAUACAGGUACACAUGUAGGAAUUUAUAGCACAAACAUAUAGCCUAAAGAAAUCAACAUUGCCUUUUGAUUGUUCCAUUUCAACAACCAUUUACUGUCAGAGAAAAUAAUUUUCUUAGUUUUUUGUUUUUUGUUUUUUUCUGAGCAG